rnacentral:misc_RNA from 1 species
UACGGAGGGUGCAAGCGUUAAUCGGAAUUACUGGGCGUAAAGCGCACGCAGGCGGUCUGUCAAGUCGGAUGUGAAAUCCCCGGGCUCAACCUGGGAACUGCAUCCGAUACUGGGAAGCUAGAGUAUGGGAGAGGAUGGUAGAAUUCCAGGUGUAGCGGUGAAAUGCGUAGAGAUCUGGAGGAAUACCGGUGGCGAAGGCGGCCCCCUGGACAAAGACUGACGCUCAGGUGCGAAAGCGUGGGGAGCAAACAGG